GUAGUUAGCCGGAGCUUCCUCCUCGGCUACCAUCUUCUUCUUUUCACCAAGGACAGAGGUUUACAAUCCGAAAACCUUCUUCCCUCACGCGGCGUUGCUGGGUCAGGCUUGCGCCCAUUGCCCAAUAUUCCCCACUGCUGCCUCCCGUAGGAGUUUGGACCGUCUCUCAGUUCCAAUGUGGCCGAUCACCCUCUCAGGUCGGCUACCCAUCGUCGGCAUGGUGGGCCGUUACCCCGCCAUCUACCUAAUGGGACGCGAACCCCUCCUAAAGCGAUAAAUCUUUGACCCCUCCCUGAUGCCAGGCUGUGGUCUCAUGCGGUAUUAGCACCGAUUUCUCGACGUUAUCCCCCUCUUUAGGUCAGGUUGUUCACGCGUUACUCACCCGUUCGCCACUAAAUGUUCCGACCGAAAUCAAAACAUCUCCGUUCGACUUGCAUGUGUUAGGCACGCCGCCAGCGUUCGUCCUGAGCCAGAAUCAAACUCUGA
rnacentral:rRNA from 1 species